rnacentral:rRNA from 1 species
GACGAGGGGUCCUAGCGUUGUCCGGAAUUAUUGGGCGUAAAGAGCUUGUAGGCGGUUUGUCGCGUCUGCCGUGAAAAUCCGGGGCUCAACCCCGGACUUGCGGUGGGUACGGGCAGACUAGAGUGUGGUAGGGGAGACUGGAAUUCCUGGUGUAGCGGUGAAAUGCGCAGAUAUCAGGAGGAACACCGAUGGCGAAGGCAGGUCUCUGGGCCACUACUGACGCUGAGAAGCGAAAGCGUGGGGAGCGAACAGG